UAAUUUCACCAACCUUGACUCGCGUCAGCGCGCGUCGUUUGGUUGUUCUUGCGUGUGCCGGCGUGAUGUGCCGGGUUGGAUGUGUUUGAUCUGUUUAUGUCGCGUUUGGAGCCAGAUAUGUUCGAUGUCUGAAAUGUGUCAUGCACGAUGCCGUUUGUGUGUGUGGUGGCGACCUGUAGAUCUUCCAGUAGUGUUAAAAGGAUUAGUUUGUUUUACCUUUCCUCGUGAUGGUUUGGUGCAGUUUGGUGAGGUCGCAGUGGAUCGCUGGUUGCAAAAGAGCUGACAAGUCUUUCAACCCAGACACUGCUCGGAUUUGUAGCUUGCAUUUUACCGCAGCUGACUUCCAAUGUGUACCUGGGCCAUCUCUCCUGUCUGGGCAGCAUGGUCGACGAAAGUUGCAGCCACAAGCUGUCCCUUCGCUUUGCCUGCCAUGUUUCGCAUCCAAGGCCUGUGAGGAGAUGCCCAGAGACAGAUGCUUAAGGGGGAGGCAUGAGAGGAAGGAGGUCUGCUGUCUGCUCAGCAAGAACAAGAAGCCAUCAGUUCAACAUGAGCCUCAUUCAAACACUCUGCUGGUUUUGGGAGGCGGUGAAAAGUUAGCCAUCAGCGUAUCGGCGUCGUUCAUCACACGCACCAUCAAGCGACACAAAGGCCUGCAAAGACUGAUGAAACAACGAGAGCUGCGGUGGAGGCGUCAGAAGGCAGCACUUCAACGUGAAAUAAGACGUCGACAGGCGCAUCCUUCGAAAGCUGGCCAUCACGCGGCUGCACAUCCGGCUGCGCUGGCUUAACCGCCAGAAGGACAGGGACGCGGCGCAGAGGACGUGACAAGCAGCUGCGCCAGCAUGCCGCGAGUCGCUAAUAAUGUUAAGAAGUGUUCGCGCUGCUGCUUCGAAUAGGAGCACCUAUUAGGCUUUAUGGUUAGUGCCUGCGUUCGUGCUGUUUAGAAUAAGGAUACCGCCCCAAGAGCUGAUGCCUGCUAGCGUGUACUUGUAUACUUGUAUAUACUAUGGUACUGUGAUACUUGUGUGCGAGUGUUUGUUUAAUGUGUUUGAGUAUAUGGUAGCCCUUGGUUCUUGUUUAGAAUAAGUUUGCUGAAAACUGUCUCAGUUGGUGGUCUAGUCUUGUAUUGCGUGUUGCUCAGAAGGACUCUGGGUCCUCGCCACAAAUUGUUAUGAUUACUCUUGAGUGUCUUUGCCAUAGUUAAGAUAUGAAAUGUGUGGCCGAGUGCUCUGUAUGCCAUUUUGUGUACGGUGUACGGCCUCUUGUUUGCCACCACAAUAAUACACUU